GACGAACGCUGGCGGCGUGCUUAAUACAUGCAAGUCGAGCGAGGCCUUGGAAUUGGAGUCCUUCGGGAUGAAGAGUCCUUGGCCUAGCGGCGGACGGGUGGAGUAACGCGUGGGCAACCUACCCCAAAGUCCGGGAUAACAGUGGGAAACCGCUGCUAAUACCGGAUGACUUUACCUGAGGGCAUCCUCGGGUAAAGAAAGGUUACGCUUUGGGAUGGGCCUGCGUCCCAUUAGCUAGUUGGUGAGGUAACGGCUCACCAAGGCGACGAUGGGUAGCCGGCCUGAGAGGGUGAACGGCCACACUGGGACUGAGACACGGCCCAGACUCCUACGGGAGGCAGCAGUAGGGAAUAUUGCGCAAUGGGCGGAAGCCUGACGCAGCGACGCCGCGUGAGCGAAGAAGGCCUUCGGGUCGCAAAGUCUGUCCUUGGGGAGAAGGCGAAAGACUUGACGGUACCCAAGAAGAAAGACCCCGGCUAAACUACGUAGCCAGCAGCCGGCGGUAAACUCGUCUCUA
rnacentral:rRNA from 1 species